rfam:Canis lupus familiaris chromosome 8, whole genome shotgun sequence.
GGGGGGAGGCCGGAUCCUGGGCUGUGUCCCGGCGCCCAGUGCUUAGGGCCUGCGCUAUUAGAUUCGCGCUCCGGCCCGCAGCCCCCU